CCUACGGGAGGCAGCAGUGGGGGAUAUUGCACAAUGGGGGAAACCCUGAUGCAGCGACGCCGCGUGAGUGAAGAAGUAUUUCGGUAUGUAAAGCUCUAUCAGCAGGGACGAAGAUGACGGUACCUGGGGAGGAAGCUCCGGCUAACUACGUGCCAGCAGCCGCGGUAAUACGUAGGGAGCGAGCGUUGUCCGGAAUUACUGGGUGUAAAGGGAGCGUAGGCGGGACUGCAAGUUGGGUGUCAAAUCUACCGGCUCAACCGGUAGCCGCACUCAAAACUGCAGUUCUUGAGUGAAGUAGAGGCAGGCGGAAUUCCUAGUGUAGCGGUGAAAUGCGUAGAUAUUAGGAGGAACACCAGUGGCGAAGGCGGCCUGCUGGGCUUUUACUGACGCUGAGGCUCGAAAGUGUGGGGAGCAAACAGGAUUAGAUACCCUUGUAGUC
rnacentral:rRNA from 1 species